AAAUUAGUAUAGAGGAUGGUGGUUUUAUAUAUGAUUG
rnacentral:guide_RNA from 1 species